GAGUUAUGCACUGAGUUUAUGUUGCAGAAGUCUACCUGCAUUGUGAGGCAGGUACAAACAACUUAACCAUGGUUGGAUCACAGGUAGCUAACCGAGAACUGCGGUUACUGCUCACCACUGUCAGGAGAUAGACCCAGUUUGGUUAGAGGCUAUCUCCAUGGCAUCCUGUACUUUGAUAGUCCCAGAGUUCUGAGUGAUCACUAAAUAUCUUGGGUUACCCCAGCGGUAUAGGACCUUAUGCACUUAUAGCUUUUUGGUUAGCGGUUGAAGGAGUCUGCACCAUAGUUGUACGCAUCAGGUCCUGGAAGAACAUCAGAGAUCUGUUUUCAAAGAGGUAUGUGCUUUAUUCUGAACAGGAGAUAAAAAUGCCCUUUUAUACUGACCAUUCUGACGAUGAUAAUGCUGCUCACCUUAUCAGUAGCAUUAAUCGCC